rnacentral:rRNA from 1 species
GUGUCAGCAGCCGCGGUAAUACAGAGGGUGCGAGCGUUAAUCGGAAUUACUGGGCGUAAAGCGCGCGUAGGCGGCUUUGUAAGUCGGAUGUGAAAUCCCCGGGCUUAACCUGGGAACUGCAUUCGAGACUGCAUAGCUUGAGUAUGGGAGAGGGAGGCGGAAUUUCCGGUGUAGCGGUGAAAUGCGUAGAUAUCGGAAGGAACAUCAGUGGCGAAAGCGGCCUCCUGGACCAAUACUGACGCUCAUGUGCGAAAGCGUGGGGAGCAAACAGGAUUAGAUACCCUAGUAGUCC